rnacentral:rRNA from 1 species
UACGGGGAUGGCGAGCGUUACUCGGAUUUACUGGGUGUAAAGGGCAGGUAGGCGGUUUUGCAAGUUGAAGGUUAAAUCCUCUGACUCAAUCAGAGACAUGCCUUCAAAACUACAUUACUUGAGGAUUGGAGAGGAGAGCGGAAUUCCCGGUGUAAGGGUGAAAUCUGUAGAUAUCGGGAGGAACACCUGUGGCGCAAGCGGCUCUCUGGACAAUAUCUGACGCUGAGCUGCGAAAGCUAGGGGAGCAAACAGG